rnacentral:lncRNA from 1 species
GUCCGCGCGGACUCGGAAUGGUCCCAGACUUUGCGGGCGGCCUCCGUGUGCCAAAAUUAGGCCACGGGCACAGCCGCGCCCAAAAAUCAGCCCCCGAAGGUCGGGGCGCCAAGACCCCCCAGCGGAAAAAUGGCCAAAAAACGGGUGGGCUAUAGCCUUGGUGGGGGGCGUGGGCGAAGUUCGUCCGCCGGACUCGGAAUGGCCCCAGACUUUGCGGGCGGCCUCCGUGUGCCACAAAUACGCCACGGGCACAGCUGCGCCCAAAAAUCAGCCCCCGAUGGUCGGGGUGCCAAGACCCCCCAACGGAAAAAUGGCCAAAAAACGGGUGGGCUAUACCCUUGGUGGGGGGCGUGGGCGAAGUUCGUCCGCGCGGACUCGGAAUGGCCCCAGACUUUGCGGGCGGCCUCCGUGUGCCAAAAUUAGGCCACGGGCACAGCCGCGCCCAAAAAUCAGCCCCCGAAGGUCGGGGCGCCAAGACCCCCCAGCGGAAAAAUGGCCAAAAAACGGGUGGGCUAUAGCCUUGGUGGGGGGCGUGGGCGAAGUUCGUCCGCCGGACUCGGAAUGGCCCCAGACUUUGCGGGCGUCCUCCGUGUGCCAAAAUUAGGCCACGGGCACAGCCGUGCCCAAAAAUCAGCCCCCGAAGGUCGGGGCGCCAAGACGCCCCAGCGGAAGAAUGGCCAAAAAACGGGCUGGUAUUGCCUUGGUGGGGGGCGUGGGCGAAGUUCGUCCGCCGGACUCGGAAUGGCCCCAGACUUUGCGGGCGGCCUCCGUGUGCCAAAAAUAGGCCACGGGCACAGAUGCGCGCAAAAAUCAGCCCCCGAAGGUCGGGGCGCCAAGACCCCCCAGCGGAAAAAUGGCCAAAAAACGGAUGGGCUAUAGCCUUGGUGGGGGGCGUGGGCGACGUUCGUCCGCCGGACUCGGAAUGGCCCCAGACUUUGCGGGCGGCCUCCGUGUGCCAAAAUUAGGCCACGGGCACAGCUGCGUGCAAAAAUCAGCCACCGACGGUCGGGGCGCCAAGACCCCCCAGCGGAAAAUGACCAAAAAACGGGAGGGCUAUAGCCNNNNNNNNNNNNNNNNNNNNNNNNNNNNNNNNNNNNNNNNNNNNNNNNNNNNNNNNNNNNNNNNNNNNNNNNNNNNNNNNNNNNNNNNNNNNNNNNNNNNNNNNNNNNNNNNNNNCACCGACGGUCGGGGCGCCAAGACCCCCCAGCGGAAAAUGGCCAAAAAACGGGAGGGCUAUAGCCUUGGUGGGGGGCGUGGGCGAAAUUCGUCCGCCGGACUCGGAAUGGCCCCAGACUUUGCGGGCGUCCUCCGUGUGCCAAAAUUAGGGCCACGGGCACAGCGUACCCAAAAAUCAGCCCCCGAAGGUCGGGGCGCAAGACGCCCCAGCGGAAGAAUGGCCAAAAAACGGGCUGGUAUUGCUUGGUGGGGGGCGUGGGCGAAGUUCGUCCGCCGGACUCGGAAUGGCCCCAGACUUUGCGGGCGGCCUCCGUGAGCCAAAAAUAGGCCACGGGCACAGCUGCGCGCAAAAAUCAGCCCCCGAAGGUCGGGGCGCCAAGACCCCCCAGCGGAAAAAUGGCCAAAAAAUGGGCUGGUAUUGCCUUGGUGGGGGGCGUGGGCGAAGUUCGUCCGCCGGACUCGGAAUGGCCCCAGACUUUGCGGGCGGCCUCCGUGUGCCAAAAAUAGGCCACGGGCACAGCUGCGCGCAAAAAUCAGCCCCCGAAGGUCGGGGCGCCAAGACCCCCCAGCGGAAAAAUGGCCAAAAAACGGGUGGGCUAUAGCCUUGGUGGGGGGCGUGGGCGAAGUUCGUCCGCCGGACUCGGAAUGGCCCCAGACUUUGCGGGCGGCCUCCGUGUGCCACAAAUACGCCACGGGCACAGCUGCGCCCAAAAAUCAGCCCCCGAUGGUCGGGGUGCCAAGACCCCCCAACGGAAAAAUGGCCAAAAAACGGGUGGGCUAUAGCCUUGGUGGGGGGCGUGGGCGACGUUCGUCCGCCGGACUCGGAAUGGCCCCAGACUUUGCGGGCGGCCUCUGUGUGCCAAAAAUAGGCCACGGGACAGCCGCGCCCAAAAAUCAGCCCCCGAAGGUCGGGGUGCCAAGACCCCCCAGAGGAAAAAUGGCCAAAAAACGGGUGGGCUAUAGCCUUGGUGGGGGGCGUGGGCGAAGUUCGUCCGCCGGACUCGGACUGGCCCCAGACUUUGCGGGCGGCCUCCGUUGGCCAAUAUUAGGCAACGGGCACAGCCGCGCCCAAAAAUCAUCCCCCGAAGGUCGGGGUGCCAAGACCCCCCAGCGGAAAAAUGGACAAAAAACGGGCUGGUAUUGCCUUGGUGGGGGGCGUGGGCGAAGUUCGUCCGCCGGACUCGGAAUGGCCCCAGACUUUGCGUGCGGCCUCCGUGUGCCAAAAAUAGGCCACGGGCACAGCUGCGCGCAAAAAUCAGCCCCCGAAGGUCGGGGCGCCAAGACCCCCCAGCGGAAAAAUGGCCAAAAAACGGGUGGGCUAUAGCCUUGGUGGGGGGCGUGGGCGACGUUCGUCCGCCGGACUCGGAAUGGCCCCAGACUUUGCGGGCGGCCUCUGUGUGCCAAAAAUAGGCCACGGGACAGCCGCGCCCAAAAAUCAGCCCCCGAAGGUCGGGGUGCCAAGACCCCCCAGAGGAAAAAUGGCCAAAAAACGGGUGGGCUAUAGCCUUGGUGGGGGGCGUGGGCGAAGUUCGUCCGCCGGACUCGGACUGGCCCCAGACUUUGCGGGCGGCCUCCGUUGGCCAAUAUUAGGCAACGGGCACAGCCGCGCCCAAAAAUCAUCCCCCGAAGGUCGGGGUGCCAAGACCCCCCAGCGGAAAAAUGGCCAAAAAACGGGCUGGUAUUGCCUUGGUGGGGGGCGUGGGCGAAGUUCGUCCGCCGGACUCGGAAUGGCCCCAGACUUUGCGGGCGGCCUCCGUGUGCCACAAAUACGCCACGGGCACAGCUGCGCCCAAAAAUCAGCCCCCGAUGGUCGGGGUGCCAAG